rnacentral:rRNA from 1 species
GAUGAACGCUGGCGGCGUGCCUAAUACAUGCAAGUCGAGCGAACAGAUGAUGAGCUUGCUCCUCUGACGUUAGCGGCGGACGGGUGAGUAACACGUGGAUCACCUACCUAUAAGACUGGGAUAACUUCGGAAAACCGGAGCUAAUACCGGAUAAUAUCUUGAACCGCAUGGGUCAAUAGUGAAAGACGGUUUUGCUGUCACUUCUAGAUGGAUCCGCGCCGGAUUAGCUGGUUGGUGAGGUAACGGCGUACCAAGGCAACGAUGCGUAGCCGCAAUGAGAGGGUGGUCGGCCACACUGGAACGGAGACACGGUCCAGACUCCUACGGGAGGCAGCAGUAGGGAAUCUUCCGCAAUGGGCGGAAGCCUGAUGGAGCAACGCCGCGUGAGUGAUGAAGGUCUUCGGAUCGUAAAACUCUGUUAUUAGGGAAGAACAAAUGUGUAAGUAACUAUGCACGUCUUGACGGUACCUAAUCAGAAAGGCACGGCUAACUACGUG